rnacentral:rRNA from 1 species
CAGAGGUCUCAAGCGUUGUUCGGAUUCAUUGGGCGUAAAGGGUGCGUAGGUGGCGUGGUAAGUCGGGUGUGAAAUUUCGGAGCUCAACUCCGAAACUGCAUUCGAUACUGCUGUGCUUGAGGACUGGAGAGGAGACUGGAAUUUACGGUGUAGCAGUGAAAUGCGUAGAGAUCGUAAGGAAGACCAGUGGCGAAGGCGGGUCUCUGGACAGUUCCUGACACUGAGGCACGAAGGCCAGGGGAGCAAACGGGAUUAGAUACCCCGGUAGUCCUGGCAGUAAACGGUGCACGUUUGGUGUGGGAGGAUUCGACCCCUUCCGCGCCGGAGCUAACGCGUUAAACGUGCCGCCUGGGGAGUACGGUCGCAAGAUUA